AGCUGCAAAACCGUGUUGGUUUGGACACCUAAAGAGAGAGACUGAGGUAAGUUCCUGUCUUAUCUCCUUCUUCAUUUUCGUUUUUUUAGAUGAAAAAUUGCAUGUCUGUGCAGCUGCAUGAUCAAUUACUGUGUGUUCUGCAAUUGUUGAAUUGAUCUACAAAUUUCAUUGUUGUUGCUGUUUGUCUUUUGUUUACUGUGCCUUUGUCAAUUGUUUUGAAUUUAGCAAAUUUCAUUGCUUCUCUGUACUGCUUUUCAUGACCCGUAUUGUGUGUUCUUAACUUUUUUUACUUGAGCUAAACCUGCAUUUAUGUGCUGCUUCAUGGUCUAGUAUGUUAACUGUGCACAUUGAUGUUGUUUCUGCUUGAGCAACCGUGGAUUUCUUUACUGUGCGUGUGUUUAUAGUAAUUGUAAUGAGUGACCUGCUAGCAUGUCGUGUAGGAUUACUUUGAUUUCUACUUUUGAAGUCAAAAUUAGAACUUUGAGUUUGCAUUUGUAUGUUUGUAUGCUACGAAAGAAAGCUGUGUUACUUUAAAUGUAGAAAUAAAUUCUUGACUUUUUAUUUUUUCCCCCUUUGUUUUUAGCAUCCAAACAACAUGAUGACAAUGAUGUUUUGCUUGAUAAUUCAAAUAUUAUAUCAUGGCUGAAACUGAGUUUUCUGAACAGUUGAAAAUUAAUGGGUUUCAAUUAGUUUUCAUUACAAAUUAACGGGAACAUUCUCAUUCAAAUAAAUUCAUGGUUAAUGUUUGUUGCUAACCACACAGCUUUUGUAAAUGCUAAACAUUGAGUGUUUUAUUAUUGAUUGAGUCCACGGUUUAUAUAUGUGCCACAAUGUAAUUGAUAUCAUUGAUUGAUUUUAAACUUUUGUUAAAUGUGUUAAAAGAUAUCAUGGAAGGUCUUGAAUCUUUCGAUAAGGCUGCUUAGACAAAGGAAAUGUUGCAUAUAUUUUGUGAUAUAUGCAUUAAGGCAAUUGAUAUGGGAAUGAGACCUAAUACUCAUUUCGAUAAAAUGGGGUGGAAAUUUCUUAUAACAUCAUUCAAAGAACAAACUGGCCAUGCAUUCACUAAAACACAAUUGAAAAACAAAUGGGAUGGAUGCAAAAAGGAUUGGAGGAUAUGGAAUAAGCUGGUUUCUGAAACUGGUGUUGGCUGAAUUAGGCAUAAUUUUAGCUAGCGAUGAGUGGUGGAAACAAAAAAUUCAGGUACAUUCCUUGUCAUCCUAACAUUUCUUUUAUUAUUGUCAAAUUCCAACACUGAAAUUUUACUAGUCUUGAUCCUUCAAUACUUGAUUUUAUUUAAAUACAGGAAAUAAAAGGAGCCAAAAAAUUCAGACAUGUCGGUAUUGAGCUGUCUUUGAAGAAUAAAUUUGACCGAAUGUAUUCCAACAAUGUCGCAACUGGAGCGUUUGCAUGGGCUCCUUCAUCAGGACUACCUGCUGGCAGUGAUGUCGAUCCUGGUACAAGCAAUGCCGACAUUGAUCGUGAUGGUUUGGAAGAAGGAAGCGGUGAUUCAGAGGAAGAUGUGAUUCCAGAUUUUCAGAUUGACAUGGCUCGAAUGGUUGGAGGGAUAAAUAUGUCUAGCAGCAGCAACACAAAAAGCGGUGUCAAAAGAAAAGGACGAGAUCCUUAGAGGUGCGAGGUAGAAAGAAGAAAACAUCUGGAAUUGGUGUCCAGCUGCUGUCAAGGUGCAAUCAACUACUUGAGAGUAUGUCGACUAAGAGUGAUUCCACGUCUGUUAAUAUGGAUCGCGAAGGUUGUAGUAUUCGCAAGGUGAUGGAUGAGCUGCACUCAAUUCCUAGAGUUUCAAUUGAAGAUGAGUUCCAUGACUUUGUUACAGAGUAUUUGAGUUUAAGAAGGAAAAGAGAAAUGUGGGCUAGUAUGGGUGAUAAGGAGCAGAAGUUAAGAUGGUUGCAACGAAUGUAUGCACGCACUAAACGUGCUUAGCUGACAUGAAUAAUGGGAUGCUGGUUUUAAAAAAGAGUAUUUUCCAAUUGCCGAAGUUUAUCCGAGUCAUUGUAUUCUUUCACAUUUCGUGUUGAGAUGUAUGGGCAUUUCCAUUUGCGGUAAUUUGUUUACUGUUGUAUUUAUAUUAAACUGCUUUCGGGAGUUAAUAUACUUGUAUGAGAAUAUUGUUGGUUUUUAAUGUUGUAUUUUAUCAAUGAAUUAAAACUGUCACUUCGGUUUUUAUUAAUGUUAAAUGGUUGACCCUUGGAUGGAA